UACGUAGGGUGCAAGCGUUAAUCGGAAUUACUGGGCGUAAAGCGUGCGCAGGCGGUUGUGCAAGACAGAUGUGAAAUCCCCGGGCUUAACCUGGGAAUUGCAUUUGUGACUGCACGGCUAGAGUGUGUCAGAGGGGGGUAGAAUUCCACGUGUAGCAGUGAAAUGCGUAGAUAUGUGGAGGAAUACCAAUGGCGAAGGCAGCCCCCUGGGAUAACACUGACGCUCAUGCACGAAAGCGUGGGGAGCAAACAGG
rnacentral:rRNA from 1 species